UUUUUUUGGGAUUAAGUUAAUUUUCAUGGCAAAGAAGGACUAUGCAAUUCAUCUGAUCACUCUUCAUAACAUUCUGGAGUAUAUGCAAAUUGCUAUUAUAAAAACUUAAGCAGUAACUUUUCCAAUUUCCAAUAUUUAUGUAAUUCUCAAAACUUUUGGCCACGACUGUACACAAGAGAAAAGGAAAAUUAUCACAAAUAGUCAGAAGAGGGCAGUGUAGCCCACUCAAUAAUCCUUAAAUUUCAGCGCAUUUAUUCUGAAGUCCCAAUGAAAUCAAAAUGGAAGUUUUUUUGGUGAGGACAGUAAAGUUAUAUAUAAGAUAGUGCACUCCAACAGACAAAAUGACAAAAUUUGCAUUUAAAUGGUAUAUGUAGCCUAUUUAAGAUUGAGUGUUUUGACUGGUCUAUAUAAUCUAUAUAAUUAUUAUAGAUCAAUGGUGUUUUUCUCCACCAGUCCCGGCUGAGCCAGGACACCUUUUUGUGUGGAGUUUGCAUGUUCUCCCCGUGUCUGUGUGGGUUUCCGCCAGGUGCUAUGGUUUCCCCCACAAUCCAAAAGACAUGCAAUACAGAUCUGCUUUUAUGAACUCCACAACCCGAGCUAAUGCAAGGGAGACGAGGUCAAAGGUUAUUUCAACACAACUGUUUUCAUCCCUCCAAGCUUAAUUCCAACAUAUGCAACAAUUAAAGAUGAUGACAAAUAUUCAGGCCCAUGUGAGAACAUUUCUGGCUUCUGACGGCUUUGGAAACAUCUCCCCUCCCGAGUGUUACACUCUGUAACUAUAUUAUGUUAUGGUAUUAUUCUGAAAAUGGC
ensembl:lncRNA